GAGUUUGAUCAUGGCUCAGAUUGAACGCUAGCGGGAUGCCUUACACAUGCAAGUCGAACGGCAGCACGGACUUCGGUCUGGUGGCGAGUGGCGAACGGGUGAGUAAUGUAUCGGAACGUGCCUAGUAGCGGGGGGAUAACUACGCGAAAGCGUAGCUAAUACCGCAUACGCCCUACGGGGGAAAGCAGGGGAUCGCAAGACCUUGCACUAUUAGAGCGGCCGAUAUCGGAUUAGCUAGUUGGUGGGGUAACGGCUCACCAAGGCGACGAUCCGUAGCUGGUUUGAGAGGACGACCAGCCACACUGGGACUGAGACACGGCCCAGACUCCUACGGGAGGCAGCAGUGGGGAAUUUUGGACAAUGGGGGAAACCCUGAUCCAGCCAUCCCGCGUGUGCGAUGAAGGCCUCGGUGU
rnacentral:rRNA from 1 species